rnacentral:misc_RNA from 1 species
CGCGACGCCAUCAUCCGCCUUUCACCAUGGUUCUCAAGUAUGCUUCUCUCUUUCUCUGUCUCUCUGAAUCAAACUGAUUUCUCUUUCUAUUAUAGUGAUCAUUAACUUUGUGGAUCUGAGAUUGAAAUCCUGAACCUUUGGUGUACAUCUCUCCAAUUAAUAUUUUUUUUUCCUUUGUACUUCAAAUCCUUCUCGGAUUCCCAGAGCCCCCUUAAAUCCUGUCUAUCGCAGAUGCAUAGAGAAAUUAUCAUUUUUCAGAAAUAAGUUGCACUUUUUCUAUCAAUUGAAGUAGGGUAGCAUGUAUGUGCACAGAAAUUUUCGGGUUUGUACUGUUAAUGAAUCAAUGUGAAGCUUUGGGCAGAUAUUAUUUAUCCUUUAUUG